UAGAAUAUAGAAAGGUAACAUAUUUGGUGGGCGUGAGGUUUCAUUAUGUCCCUCCAAACUUGUCAGACUUUGCUACUUUGCAUUUUUUGUGAACUGACUCUGCUAGAUACAUGUUAAGAAUCCAAGAUGCUAAGAUGUCAUGUUCAUCUUCCUGCAGGCUGAUGAAGGCCGUCGAAGAUCACAAGCGCAGCUUGCUAUUGUACAGGUUUAGAAUCUAGAAAGGUUGUUAAUUCCAAAUCAAUUUGGAAUCCAGUCAAAACUACUCUCAAGGACUGCUCUGAACCUCAAAUAUCGUCGGCCAAAGAAUUUGUGAUAUGUUGAUUGAUGCAACUAUGCUGUACUGUUUCAGUGACUGUUAAAAGUAGACAUAACAGAAGUCUGGCAUUUUAGGUCACGGAAGUCUGGCAUCCUUUGUACACGAUCCUUUGUACACUAAUAUGAGGCGUUUUAGGUCACGGAA